CCCGCGGCCGCGAGGGAGCCGGUGCGCUCGCGCCGCCAGCGGGGCGGUGCCUGAGCCCGUAAAUCCUGAGGGGAGCCGGGGGAUGAGCGGCCGCGGAAGGGAAAGCCUCCUCUGCGGGGCACCAAAAGCCCGGAGUGGGCGGCUGUCGAAGCUGCGGCACCGGGAGGGAUCUAGUGCUCCACGUGGAGCAGUUAAUUUCCAAACCGAUAGGUAUUUGAGCCAGCUCAUAUGUAUGAGGUGCAAUAUGGCUAUGGAUGCUGAGGAACUGGCUUCACGAAGAGGAGAUAGCAAGUGCUAUCCAAGGCAGCAGGACAGAUCAGUCUACAGAAUGGUGCUCUCACCAGUGUCUGAGGUAGUCAACAGAACUGAAUUACUGGGUAUAUAUUUUUCCUACAAUGAGCUUUCUUCUUGUUUUGUGCAGUGA
ensembl:lncRNA